rnacentral:rRNA from 1 species
AGCGAACGCUGGCGGCAGGCUUAACACAUGCAAGUCGAGCGGGCAUCCUCGUGGUGUUAGCGGCAGACGGGUGAGUAACGCGUGGGAACGUGCCCUUCGGUUCCGAAUAACUCAGGGAAACUUGAGCUAAUACCGGAUACGUACGAGAGCGGAAAGGUUUACUGCCGGAGAAUCGGCCCGCGUCUGAUUAGCUAGUUGGUGCGGUUAAGGCUCACCAAGGCGACGAUCAGUAGCUGGUCUGACAGGAUGACCAGCCACACUGGGAUUGAGACACGGCCCAGACUCCUACGGGGGGCAGCAGUGGGGAAUAUUGGCCAAUGGGGGCAACCCUGAUCCAGCCAUGCCGCGUGAGUGAUGACGGCCUUAGGGUUGUAAAGCUCUUUUCUCCGGGACGAUAAUGACGGUACCGGAGGAAUAAGCCCCGGCUAACUUCGUGCCAGCAGCCGCCGUAA